UACAUGGGGUGCAAACGUUGUUCGGAUUUACUGGGCGUAAAGCGUGUGUAGGCGGCUUGGCAAGUUGGAUGUGAAAGCCCACGGCUCAACCGUGGAAGCGCAUCCAAAACUGCUUCGCUCGAGUCUCGGAGAGGAAGGUGGAAUGCUUGGUGUAGAGGUGAAAUUCGUAGAUAUCAAGCAGAACACCUGCGGCGAAGGCGGCCUUCUGGACGAUGACUGACGCUGAGACACGAAAGCGUGGGGAGCAAACAGG
rnacentral:rRNA from 1 species